GUGGGCUAUGGGGACAUGAAGCCCAUCACUGUGGGGGGCAAGAUUGUAGGGUCUCUGUGUGCCAUUGCAGGUGUCUUAACCAUUGCUUUGCCAGUGCCAGUGAUUGUCUCUAAC
rfam:Sus scrofa chromosome 2.